rnacentral:tmRNA from 1 species
GGCGUUGAAGAAAGCGCUGGGACGGCCUAUAUCCGUGGCGUCGGGUUUCACCCGGCUAUGGCGAUAAACUGCGGCGUACAAUAGACGCAGCGGACCCGGGGGCAGUACCCGGCGGCUCCACCACCGCAGCUGAGGCGCAUCGCGUCACCCAGCCGCGAUGACGGGGCCGAACCAGGAUCGACGUGUGUUGAAAAGCGCUGUUUUCGCUCGGAAUGGGACCACCGCAACGGCCCAUUACACAAGUGCCAACGAUAACGAAGCACUCGCGAUUGCGGCGUAACUGAGGGCCUCGCGGCCUAAGGUUACACCAAGAUAGCGCGGUCGGACCGAACCGGGCAACAGAAUCGGAUUCCA